GGGGUUGUACUGGUUUCGACGGGGGUUUUGCAAUUGUGGUAGCCAUCCGCGGGCCGGGACCGCGCAGUAAACCGGAAACUUAAAUAUAAACGCAGACGAAAAUUUAGCGUACGCAGCCUAGUGGCUGCUGUCGGCCUUAAGUCUCUCGCAGCUUAAGCAACCGGCAUCAAAUAAUGCGGGGCACUUUAUCUCCAAAGCUUUGAGGGGAUAAAAGAACUUAUGAAGCUACUAAAGUCCGAAGCCUGUCAUUAGGCGCCGGGCGGAGGGAAUGUUAAAAUAAUGACUGCGAUGGGAGAAGCUGCAAUGAAUAGGCUUUCGGACAGGGGUUCGAUUCCCCUCAGCUCCACU
rnacentral:tmRNA from 1 species